rnacentral:rRNA from 1 species
UACGUAGGGGGCGAGCGUUGUCCGGAAUUACUGGGCGUAAAGGGCGUGUAGGCGGCUUUUUAAGUCAGGUGUGAAAGGCGGAGGCUCAACCUCCGGAAUGCAUCUGAAACUGGAGAGCUUGAGGAUGGUAGAGGAGAGCGGAAUUCCCGGUGUAGCGGUGAAAUGCGUAGAUAUCGGGAAGAACACCAGUGGCGAAGGCGGCUCUCUGGGCCACACCUGACGCUGAGGCGCGAAAGCUAGGGGAGCGAACGGG